GGGUUGUGAGGUUAAGCGAAUAAGCGUACACGGUGGAUGCCUAGGCAAUCAGAGGCGAUGAAGGACGUGCUAAUCUGCGAAAAGCGUCGGUAAGGUGAUAUGAACCGUUAUACCCGACGAUAUCCGAAUGGGGAAACCCAGUAUCCAAUGGAUACUAUCAUUAACUGAAUCCAUAGGUUAAUGAGGCGAACCGGGAGAACUGAAACAUCUCAGUACCCCGAGGAAAAGAAAUCAACCGAGAUUCCCCUAGUAGCGGCGAGCGAACGGGGAGCAGCCCAGAGUCUUAAUCAAUAGCAGUGUCAGGAGAACGGUCUGGAAAGUCCGGCAGUAAAGGGUGAUAGCCCCGUAUCUGAAGAUGCUGUUAUUGUGAACUCGACGAGUAGGGCGGGACACGUGUUAUCCUGUCUGAAUAUGGGGGGACCAUCCUCCAAGGCUAAAUACUCCUGAUUGACCGAUAGUGAACCAGUACCGUGAGGGAAAGGCGAAAAGAACCCCGGCGAGGGGAGUGAAAAAGAACCUGAAACCGUGUACGUACAAGCAGUAGGAGCCUCUUUAUGGGGUGACUGCGUACCUUUUGUAUAAUGGGUCAGCGACUUAUAUUCUGUAGCAAGGUUAACCGUAUAGGGGAGCCGUAGGGAAACCGAGUCUUAACUGGGCGAAUGAGUUGCAGGGUAUAGACCCGAAACCCGGUGAUCUAUCCAUGGGCAGGUUGAAGGUUGGGUAACACUAACUGGAGGACCGAACCGACUAAUGUUGAAAAAUUAGCGGAUGACUUGUGGAUGGGGGUGAAAGGCCAAUCAAACCGGGAGAUAGCUGGUUCUCCCCGAAAGCUAUUUAGGUAGCGCCUCGUGAAUUCAUCUUCGGGGGUAGAGCACUGUUUCGACUAGGGGGUCAUCCCGACUUACCAACUCGAUGCAAACUGCGAAUACCGAAGAAUGUUAUCACGGGAGACACACGGCGGGUGCUAACGUCCGUCGUGAAGAGGGAAACAACCCAGACCGCCAGCUAAGGUCCCAAAGUCAUGGUUAAGUGGGAAACGAAGUGGGAAGGCUCAGACAGCCAGGAUGUUGGCUUAGAAGCAGCCAUCAUUUAAAGAAAGCGUAAUAGCUCACUGGUCGAGUCGGCCCGCGCGGAAGAUGUAACGGGGCUAAACCAUGCACCGAAGCUGCGGCAGCGA
rnacentral:rRNA from 1 species